rnacentral:rRNA from 1 species
CACGUAGGGCGCGAGCGUUGUCCGGAAUUAUUGGGCGUAAAGAGCUCGUAGGCGGCCUGUUGCGUCCGCUGUGAAAGCCCGGGGCUUAACCCCGGGUCUGCAGUGGAUACGGGCAGGCUAGAGGUAGGUAGGGGAGAAUGGAAUUCCCGGUGUAGCGGCGAAAUGCGUAGAGAUCGGGAGGAACAUCCAUGGCGAAGGCAGCUACCUGGACCAACACUGACACUGAGGCACGAAAGCGUGGGGAGCAAACAGG